AAUGAACGCUGGCGGCAGGCCUAACACAUGCACGUCGAACGAGUGGCGGACGGGUGAGUCAUGUCUGGGAAACUGCCCGAUGGAGGGGGAUAAUUACUGGAAACGGCACCUAUAACGGAAUAGCAUCGCCUGUGCCCAGAUGGGAUUGGGCAUUAGGUGGGGUAACGGCUCACAUAGGCGACGAGCCACAGGUGGUGUGAGAGGUUGACCGGCCGCACUGGAACGGAGAAACGGUCCAGACUCCUAGGGGAGGCAGCAGUGGGGAAGAUUGCACAAUGGGCGCAAGCCUGAUGCAGCCAUGCCGCGUGUAUGAAGAAGGCCUUCGGGUUGUAAAGUACUGUCAGCGGGGAGGCGUUACUCGCAGAAGAAGCACCGGCUAACUCCGUGCCAGCAGCCGCGGUAAUAC
rnacentral:rRNA from 1 species